AUUGAACGCUGGCGGCAGGCUUAACACAUGCAAGUCGAGCGAGCGGCGGACGGGUGAGUAAUGUCUGGGAAACUGCCUGAUGGAGGGGGAUAACUACUGGAAACGGUAGCUAAUACCGCAUACCAUCAGCUGGGCCCAGAUGGGAUUAGCUAGUCGGUGGGGUAAGGGCUCACCAAGGCGACGAUCCCUAGCUGGUCUGAGAGGAUGACCGGCCAAACUGGAACGGAGACACGGUCCAGACUCCUACGGGAGGCAGCAGUGGGGAAUAUUGCACAAUGGGCGAAAGCCUGAUGCAGCCAUGCCGCGUGUGUGAAGAAGGCCUUCGGGUUGUAAAGCACUGUCAGCGAGGAGGCGUUACUCGCAGAAGAAGCACCGGCUAACUACGUGCCAGCAGCCGCGGUAAUAC
rnacentral:rRNA from 1 species